rnacentral:rRNA from 1 species
AUUGAACGCUGGCGGCAGGCCUAACACAUGCAAGUCGAGCGGAGCGGCGGAAGGGUGAGUAAUGCCUAGGAAUCUGCCUGGUAGUGGGGGAGAACGUCCGGAAACGGGGGAUAAUACCGCAUACUAUCAGAUGAGCCUAGGUCGGAUAAGCUAGUUGGUGGGGUAAAGGCAUACCAAGGCGACGAUCCGUAACUGGUCUGAGAGGAUGAUCAGUCACACUGGAACUGUGACACGGGCCAGACUCAUACGGGAGGCAGCAGUGGGGAAUAUUGGACAAUGGUCGAAAUCCUGAUCCAGCCAUGCAGCGUGUGUGAAGAAGUUCUUCGGAUUGUAAAGCACCUUAAGUUGGGAGGCGUUACCAACAGAAGAAGCACCGGCUAACUUCGUGCCAGCAGCCGCGGUAAUUC